UACGUAGGGACCGAGCGUUGUCCGGAUUUAUUGGGCGUAAAGAGCUCGUAGGCGGUUUGUUGCGUCGGCUGUGAAAUCCCGAGGCUCAACCUCGGGUCUGCAGUCGAUACGAGCAAACUAGAGUGUUGCAGGGGAGACUGGAAUUCCUGGUGUAGCGGUGAAAUGCGCAGAUAUUAGGAGGAACACCGGUGGCGAAGGCGCCACUCUGGGCCGAAACUGACGCUGAGGAGCGAAAGCGUGGGUAGCAAACAGG
rnacentral:rRNA from 1 species